CUGGGAAUCGCCGGAGGCAUUCAAGCCAGAGAGGUUCACGCAUAGUUUGGAUCUCGAGUUCGCGGGAAAGGACUUCAAUUUGAUACCAUUUGGGGAAGGUCGCAGGAUCUGCCCCGGGAAGAACCUCGGGAUAAAAACGGUGGAGAUCAUGCUCGCCAACCUUCUUUACUCCUUCGACUGGGAACUUCCAACGGGAAUGACGAGGGAGGAUAUCAACAUGGAUGAGGCGCCGGGUGUUGCUGUGCACAAAAGACAUGCUCUCCGCCUUCUCGCCACUAGAUAUAGCAGCAUCAAUAGCUAAAAUAUAUACAUAAAUACACCACUGUGCAUCUAUGUAUCAUCUCUCGACAAUCUACCUAUAUUUAUUAUGUAUUUUACUAGCUAUCUUAUGUGUACAAUUUGCAAAUCAUAUGCUUAUACCUCACAACUUCUCAGGAGUACAAAAAUUAAUUUAUCAAUAUUUAAGAAUUGGGUAUAAUCACAUAUUCUACGUUAUUAUGUUAAGACAAUUAAUUUGCCACAGCAGUGUUUUAGAAAAAUUUGAAAGCCGAUCUGGCCUGACCUAUGCACCACUUUCAUGGAGGAAGUAUUUGGCUGUUGAUACUUCCGAUUGAAUAAAGAUUUAUUCAAUUAUAUAGGAUUUAAAAUGUUUGGAGCAUUUAAACGUGAGGUCGUUGUUUUAACGCAUUCAUCUAGGAUUUACUCGCUCAAAUAAAAAAGGACGGGGCGAGGUGGAGCACGACCACGGACCGACUUGGUCCGUUAGACUAGGCAGUGUUGGGCCGCUGUCGUUGAGCCCGUCGGCCCGAUGCUCGGCACGGCACAUGCUUCCUGGGCCCUAAGGCCUCUGCCUUUGGACCUUAAGGUAUGAGUUCCGAAGCUAGCAUUAAAUUAUGGGAUAGGCUAAAAUACAUACAAAUUAAAAUUUUAGCGGUCAAAUUUUUUUUAAAAUUAUGAUGGUACUAAAAUAAAAAAAUAAAAAAUAAAAAAUAAAAAAAUUUAGAAUUGAGAGAGCACUUAGUACCAAGAACUUUUAAAAAAAAUAGAUUAAUCAAUAUACUUUUAAAAUUAAAUAAAAAUAUAUCUUUUAAAUUUUUAUAUGUAAAGAAAUAUUAUACAAAUUAUGAAAAGUCUGAAAGCGGGCGUGGCCCCCCUCAACCCCCAUAUAGCUCCGCCUCUAAGUUCCUCCCUAGAAGCUCUCAUUCAAAAGUCUGCCAAUAAAGACCUUGGGAAGAAUGGGUUGGUCCAUAUUGGAUCAACGCAUCGUAUAAUUUUUAAAUUUAUAUUUUAAAAAAAUUUAAGAGACCGGUCCAGAGCACGGCCUGGUUCGACAAUCCAAACCAAAGGUCUGUAGUGACAGAGGCUUGGAAGAUCCAACCCUCCACGGCUCAGCCAGGAUUUCAAAGCCGAACCCAAUUCCUAGCCUGUUUUGGUAUGAAUAAUAUGAGUCGUGUUGCUUGACACGACCCAUAUUACACUCCUAUAUUUAUAUCACAUAUUUUUACCUCUUUCUUCUUUAUCUAUUCUUUUUCAUCAUUACGGUUGACAUAUUCUACUUCUCUCAUUCUACUUCUCACAAGGAAUGAAAUAAUUAAAUUAAGGUAAAAAUUUUAGUUACUCUCUGAAAUUAUUGUAACCAUGUUUUACAUAAAAUCAUGAGUGAAUUUGUUGAAAAUCAUAAAUUGGAGUCAUAGAUAAAUUUGUAGGAAGCAGGUAUUUUGGGGUGGGAAGUGAUAUGAGAGUAAGGUUAAUGUAGAAGAAAAGAUGUAACUUCAGUCUAUACUAUAAAAAUAUAAUCGAUAGACAAAUAAUGUGCACUUGAUAUUUUGUUCUAUCCGUUUCGUUUAUUUUUUUUAAUAAUAAAUUUAGCUGGAAAUAUGAAUCAAUUAGAAUUCGAACUUGAGAUUUCAGAUACUAACCACCAAGCCCUUUAUCACUUGCGCUAGGAACAGUAGAUUUUAUUCUGCUAAAUUGGAAGUGUUAUUCUUUUGUGCUCGAUAGAAUCAUGUCGCUGGCAUUAUAAUAGCAGAUCUUGUGGAUGUGUCGAAUUUCUUAGUGUUUGGUUCAGUGGAAAAUUAUGUGAUAACCUGUUUCUUGCAUAUAUGUCCUCAUGUGUAGGUAAUAAUUGUUAUUUUAUUUGAUGUUGACAUUGAUAUUGGAGCUGGAGCUCCUAUUUAAACUAUAAUAACAGAUGCGCAUAUUCUUUCUUGUAUUGCUUAAGCUCUGUAGUCUGGAAGUACAGUAGUUUCUUCGGUGCUUUCGCGAAUUUAUUAUGCAAUUAUGAUGCACAUAAUAUUGACAGAUACCUGGACAAGAAAAAAGAGCCUGAGGUGCAACAAUAGAUUCUGAAAGCAGGUUGUAUCUUCGGCUUAUUCAAUAAGAGGUGAUGCAACUGAAGCUUUAUGUUGUUCACAUUGCAAUUCGAAUUGUUUGUACUCUUCUUUUCAAAGAUCAUGCAACUUCACUGGUGUUCUCCUCCUAAAUCAAUUUAAACUGUGUUGCGAAUUUGUUGCUUUGUGGAUUUGCGAUUUUCUGUUGGUAUCCAAGAAGGGUUUGAUUCUUUAUUUUUUAAAUAAAUGUUUUAAAUAAUUGGAAUGACUAUAUGAAUAGUGUCAGUAGUAAAAUAACCGAUUUUCGUUUGGGCUUGUGUGUGAAAGUCUAGGUCCUAAUUUAUGCCACGGGCUAGAAGAUCAAAGAUUGUGCUGGAAGAAUUUGUAGAAAAAAUGUACGUGCACUCUGUUAUAGGAUGCACAUCUUCUAUCUUUUUAUUCUAGAGUUUAAUCAAUCCUUUUGAAUUCUUAGUAUAAAAAAAAUUGUAGUAUAAGUGAGUAAAUCCUAGUCGUGGAGAAAGUGGGGCGUAAAUCUAAUACCUUUAGCAUGCAGGUAGCAUUACUCAUUUCUUUAAUAUUGACUCUUACUAAAGUUGUAAUUUUACAAUUCAUCCAACAUAAGAAAGAAACAAUCUAGUGGGUUGUUUCUUUGCAUGCAGUUCCUACCGCAUGUCUAAUUGCUCGUGAAGCUAAUUUUAUUAUUUGAAUUGAUGUAUUGGAAACUGUAAGAAAAGAUCUAUAUCAAUAUAUAGAAGGUAAAAUUACAUCCAAAUUAGCUGCAAGUUUAGUUGCAAUAAUUGUAACAAGUAAUUUCAAAUAAGAAAUAAAGAUAUAUAGCAGCCUAAUCAAUUUUCAAACUAAACAAAUAUAGUUUCGUCUAUGACGGAUAUAAUCUCUUCAAUAUAUAUAUAUAUAUAUAUAUAUAUAUAUAUAUAUAUAUAUAUAUAUGUGUGUGUGUGUGUGUGUGUGUGUGUGUAGGGGGAUACAAUUUCUCAAUACAGUUACUAGUUAAAUGCAUCCAAAUUUAUAGAAUUUUUUACUAUAUUCAAUUAAACAAAAAUUUAUAACUGGGACUCUUAUAUUUUUAACUAUCUUAGAUAUUUUGAAUUAAACCGAAUCAAACAACCUUCAAGCGUAGCAGGGUCGUCAUCAUCAUUCUAGAAGAACCAAAGAUUGCGGAGAACAACAAUCCUCGGUGUCGUACGUUUCAUAUUUUUAUUUUUAUUUUUUUUUUAGAGAUAGAUACCACGUUACCCGCUUCGUUUAUUUCAUUUAGAAAUAAAUUUAGCUUGAAAUGUGAAUGAACUAGGAUUCGAACUUGGGUCUCGGAUACCAACCACCAAGCCCUUUGCCACUUGCUUCUAGGGACAGUCGGUGUUUCAUAUUUUUAUUGUUCUCAGUUUUUGUUAGUUUUUUUUAGGGAAAACUUCAAAAACUCCCCCUGUGGUUUCGUAGUUUCUCACUUUGCCCCCAUGUGGUUUAAAGUGUAUCAAUUUGUCAUCAUCUGGUUUCGUUUUUAUCUUUUCGGUAGCUUUUUCGUUAAUAUUUCGUUAAAUUAUAUACAAAAAACUUCAGAUAUUCAUCUAGAUUUAUCAAAUAUUCACUUUAGUACCCUUUAAUUUUAACUUUAUUACUGAUUUAAGGAAAAAAAAUAAUGAAAUUGAUAAGAAAAAGAGAAAAACAAAACCACAGGGGGGCAAAUUGAUACAUUUUAAACCACAGGAGGGCAAAGUGAGAAACUACGAAACCACAGAGAGGGUUCUUUGAAGUUUUCCCUUUUUUUUAUUUGAACAUAAAUUACAGUUUAUAUAUAUAGGAUUAGGUGACACUGGGGGGAGGGACUUAAUUAUGCUUCCAGUUGCUACUUAGCUUGUUAAUUAGGCAUGUUGAAAACAUCGAUCUCUUUGCAGAAAUGACGGAGAAGUAGGUGAGAUUUACGUUUUAUUUAUUUGGCCGGAGAAAUCCUUGGACGUUCGAGUUUAAACUUUAAACAAUGUGAGUGCAUACGAUUUGUCCAAUAAAUACAAAAUAACAACAAUAGAAAAUAGGCCCUAAUUUGAAUAUUCCUAGGGACGUCUCUAUCCAUCGUACGUGCUAAAAUAUAUAGAAGCAAUUUAUGCUAGACGCAUUAGUAAGCCGUAUUGGGCGUCAGCAGUCGCCCAACGGCAUUAAGGCUUAAUUUGGUAUUGAGAUGAAUCUAACGCUAUUAGAUAGAAUAGAGUUGAGAAAAAACAUAUAUAUAGGGAUAUGCUACUGCGUUCUCCGAUAGGACUGCAGAAAAUAUAUCAUAACCUACUAACUGCAAUAUACGGAACAUAAUAUUACGUACGGAAACAAACAUGGUAUUUUUUCAUCGUCGUUUCUCACUGCACGUAAUGCAAUGCCCCCGCAAUCCCAAACGAAACCUAAGUAAAUUGGAGUUAAAACAACCGAAUAGGGUAAUUACAUGCACUUUUGGUCCUCAAUCUCUGGGGCGUGUGAUAUUUUAGUUUUCGAAUUUUAAUAUGCUGUAAUUUCUGAUUCGAACCAUAAGGUGCAUUACACUUUAAUUUUAGAACUUUAAUUAAUUACAAUUUAUACUCGAACUAUAUAAGUAAUGUGAAGCUUUAGUUCUCGAACUUUUUGGAUUAUUAUAAUCAGGUUCCACAGCCUAAUUUUUUGAAUAAAUAUUGAUGAAUUAAUAAUAUCGAAAUGGUAUAGUAUUUUAAUUACUAUUGCUUCAUCAAGAAGUAUAUUACUACAAUUCAGAAAGUUCGAGAACUAAAAUCUUACAUAUUUCAUAGAUUGAAUAAAAAAUUAUGGCUAAUUAAGAUUGAAGAUUAAAGUGUCAUGUACCUUAUAGUUUGAUUUAAAAAUUAUAACUAAUUAAAAUUUAAAAACUAAAGUGUGUCAAGCGUCUUAUAGUUUUAGCUAAAAAACUUGAGAACUAAAAUAUUAUGUUCGUCAUUAUUUGAGGACCAAAAGUUUUAUUUACAUAGAAGCUCAAUUUUAUAUAUAUAGGAUAAGGCUAUUAUACUCUUAUGAGUAUAGAUUUUUUUGUACUCAUAAAUUUUUCGGCCAUUAGAUAAAAUAAUAUGCAGUGAGGAUGAUAGUAGUUCUCUAGGGUUGAACGGCCAGUUGGUUGAAUAGUAUGAUAAAAAAAAUGUGUUUAACGGCAAAAAAUUUUUGAGUAUAAAGAGAUUUAUACUCAUAAGAAUACAGUAGCCGAACUCUCUCUCUCUCUCUCUAUAUAUAUAUAUAUUAAUUUUUUUGUUUAAAAUUUAACCACUUUAAUGCACAUAAUAAUAAUAAUAAUAAUAAUAAUAAUAAUAAUAAUAUCUUUGCGGUAAUCCCAAUGGGAGCCUCCAGAGUCUUAGAAUUAGGUUGAUAUGGGAGAGAGAUUUCCUUUUUUUUUUAUGCACAGAAAUUUCACGCAUACACUAGCGGAUGGACUGGAGUAGAUUUUUCUAAUGCACGAGGUUGGACUGGACUGGAGUAGAUUUUUCUAAUGCACGAGGUUGGACCGAGAAAACCUGUCAAAAAUCACGCGGAUUACCACUCGAUCUCUAGUGCGCAUUUACGUUUCCAACUCGGAAUCCGUGAUUACAACAGCACAAUAAUUUACUACAUAUUAUUAUCAGCCUCUAGUGCGCACUUUAUAGCAGGAAUUGAAUCAGUACUAAAGAUAUAACAGCAUAAUAUUUAACCACUAGAUUAGGCCUUCUGCCUAAACAUGGUACGUAAUUAUUAUUAUUCAAAGCAAAAGUAUACAAAACAAAUAAAAUAAAACAAAAAUUUUGUCACAUAAGGAUAGCUCAUCUCAUUAUGCACGGGGCUAAUAAUAGAAAACUCCAAAUCUGAAUUUUUGAGUAGGGGUGCCGUUUUUUCUGGGCCCACAAGAUUAAUUUCUUCUCAAUCUGCACCAACUCGUGUCGUCUCCUUAUCGCCAACGUUAGCCAUCUUCUGCAUUAAUUGCUGAGUAAAAAGUUUGACUUCUUAUGGAUGGACAUGCAGGUACGGAGACGGAACUCCACGUCGACUAACAUCCAUCUUACACCGCCUUGAACAGGUUUUUGUUUUUGUGCUCAUUACGUAUCACAAUCACCUCUACAAGUCUUAUGCGUUCGUGUCGGACAUGCAUAUAUCCGAUAUAAAUACUCUUAGAACACUCGUUUAAUAUCGAUUCAUAAUAUAUACAAUUAAAAUAUAUAUAUAUAUAUAUAUAUAUAUAUAUUUAUUUAUUUAUUUAUUUUAUUUUUUUUUGCAUAUACAAUAUACGUUAAUAAAAUAUUUUAGUUUUUUUAUCAAUAUAUACAAUUUUUUUGACAAUAUAAAUAAAUUAUGUAUGAUGGAAAUUUUUUUUCUUAAAAUAUAUGAACUAUUAAUGAAAAUUUUACUAACUUUCAUUUAUAUGAAAAAUAUAAUAAUAUUUUAUCAAAAUUAAUAUUUUAUAUAUAAUAAAAAUAUAUUAUUAUAUUAAUAAUAUUGUAUUUUAUUAGCGGUGUUUAUGUCGUGUCCGUAUUUUAAUUUUUUAAAAGUUUCCAACUCAAGGUGUCCGAAUCGUGUUGUAUUUCGUAUUCUGUGUCAGUGUCCGUGACGUCUAAAUUUUCGUUUAAAUUUCACUAUUUUUUUUCUUUUUUUUUUUGUUUUGGUGGCUGGAGUGUCCGCAUGCGCACUGAUCAUCAUUCCAGUUUCUGCUGUAUUCCGAUAAUACAACAUCUUUUAUAUUUGAAGUUGCCGAAGUGUGUGACCGUUUUUCUCAUUCUCGCUGCUAUCGUACCAAUGGGUUUAAGCUGUUUGUCUCAUCAAAAUGUUUUCAGGGAUUAAGAGUUCAAAUUAACGAUCGAUAUAGUUAAAGUUAAUAUAAAAAAUUUAAAUGCCUGAAAAGUAAAUUUGUGGUUUUGAAAGUUUUUUAUAUCCUGAUGGAAAGAUGUUGGGUUUGAUUUUUUAUUAUUUUUUAUUCUAAUAAGUUAUUUGCUCAGUUAACUAACGGUGUAAAACAAUUCUAAUAUAUUAUUUUGUGAUAGAAUAUUUUUUUUUUCACCAUUUCUAUUUUGUUUGACAAUCCCGAUCUUUAAUUGAAAAGCUUUAAUCUCCAUUUACAUAACAUUAUUUGUUAGCAAUUGUUCAUUUUGUGGUCUUCAAAAGAUAAGAAUUUUUUUUAAAAAAAAAUCACACAAUUCAAUUCCUGAACACUUUAUUUGUUUUAGGUCAUGCUUGACGGUCUGAUUACUAAUUCAAAAUUUUUAUCUUUAAAAAUGGCGUAGGGGCCAUUUGGAACUGAGGCUUGUCCAGUACUAACCAGAAAGAUAGAGUUGGAAGAAAAUCACUUAAGGAUAUAUUUUUUUAUUUUUCAAUGAGAAGGUAAAAAAUAUAUUGUAAUCGAUUUUUUAUGAUACUGAUAUUUCAUAUAAAAGUAAAUAAAAUAUAUUUUUAUCGUUCUUUUAUAAUAUAAUUUUUUUGUAAUUUCAAAUGUCGAGACAAAUUGGUGUGGUUUUUCUGGGCCUAGAAGACCAAAUUAAAUAACAAAGGAGGAACGGAGAAACGGAUAAGAGGAAAACAUGCUGGCUAAUUAUUGUGGCGCCUCAAUUCUUGACUAGACUAGAAGGGACCCCAAAAGCAUUUGCCCUUUCAUUUUUUGGAUAGAUAGAAAUGGUGGGCUGAGCUUUUAAUUUCUUUUCAUAUUAUCAAACAAUUGAGCUAUAAAAAUUUGUCCUAUUAUAACAGGAUAAUAAUAGCUAUAAAAAUUUGUCCUAUUAUAAUAGGAUAAUGAUAGCUAGAUUCCACUUAUCUUUUCACCACCGCCUUCAAAUGCGAGAAAUUCUACACUGUCACGCUUACAUAACGUCAUCAAUAAUAAAUCAAUCAUAUUUUUUCUUUUUAAACAAAAGUACAAUAAAAAUAUUUUUUACAAUUAUGAUGAAACAUAUAUCCCUAAUUGGUUUUACGCCACGUCACUAAUAUACCCGUUGCAUUCUAUAAUUUUUCCUUCAGUGCACUCAUCAAUUAAUUAAUAACAAAAUAUAAAAAAUGCUAUAGGCACCUCAAAAUAUAUUUUGAAAUAUUAUUAACAUGUAAAUUUUACUUAAAAUUUUGAAAAUGAAACUAGGAUGCUAUUAAUUAUAUUUUUUAGGUUAAAAUCGUGGAAAUUUUAUCAAAAAAAGUACUUGAUUACAUCAUAUAUAAUUUUGGAAAUAACAUAAGCGCAUUUACAUACAAAGGAAGAGUAAAAACAUAAAUAUCUUCAAAACUAGAUAAAAGAUGAGAGUGAACAUUAACAAUUCCCAAACCUAAGAAAGAAAAGAAAAAAGAAAUAAAUAAAUAAUGAGCCGUCUUCGAAUCUGAAACAAAUAAAUCAAGCUCGUGACAAUGAAGUUCGUGACAGAAAAUAAAAUAUGAUAGAUGAAAGUAAUCAUUUAAUCUGUACGUACGCCCAUUCAAACUCAUGUCCCUCUAAUUAUACCAGAGCGUCUCUAUAUAUUUUCGAAUCUGUCAAUCUCUAGUAUGAAAAAUACUCAUGAGGUUUAUUGGGCCUGACAGAGUUAAAGAAGAUAGAAAAGAGCAGAACAAUAAGAAGAUGAGCUAGAUAAUUGUGCUACCAAGUUGUUUUCAAUGAUACGGUUUUCAAAUCGGCGAUCGGCUCCGUUACAUUUAAUCUACAUUAUUUAAAAUAUUUAAAAAUUAAAUUUCAUAAUUUUUUGACAUCGUUUACCUAUCAAACGAGUAGUCAAAAAACGAACGGCUGAAAAUAAAAAUUUCAUAAAAAAUAAUGAUAAAAAAUUUAAAUUUAAGACCAGAGAUACCGAUCUUACUCUAAAUAGUAAAAAAAAAAUUUAUAUAAAAAUUUUAUCAGAUUUGAAUUAUUUUACACUGUUAGAUUCACAUAUGCAUCACAUCGUUCAUUAAAAUUAUCAAUUUUGAGACAUUUUGAUCACUAGCCAAAUGAUAUUGAAAAAUUAUGAAAUUUAGUUUUCAAAUACUUUUAAUAUUGUAGAGCAAGUUUAAUAAAGCCGAUCGUCGAUUUGGAAGCCGCAUCAUUGAAAACAACUUGGUAGCACGAAAGCCUCCGUGUUACCGGUCUAACUUCAUAUAUAUAUAUAUAUAUAUAAUAAUAUAUAUUAUAUAUAUAUAAUUAUAUAUAUAAUAUAUAUAUAAUAUAAAUAUAUUAGUCUGGGUUGUUACUAGGAGUCCCAGCGGAGCCCUCCGUGCUCUUAAGUCGUUUUUGAUGAUAGAAUUUUCGAAUCGACGAUCGGCUCAGUUAGACUUAAUCUAGCUAACAUAUUUGAAAUAUCCAAAAAAUAAAUUUUGCGAUUUUUCGAUAUCAUUUAGCUAGCGAUCAAAAGGAUUCAAAAUCAACAAUUUUUAAUGAUUGAUGUAUACCAUUUGCAAGUUUAACGAUGUAGAAGUUUUCAAAUCAGAUAAAAUUUUGAUAGAAAAUUUGAUAAAAGUCCCUCCUGAGCUUCAGUAAUCAUAUAAAAUAAAAUUUAAAAAAAAGACAAAAGUAGAAAUAUGACCAACAUGAAACCUAGCUAGAGUGUGCUUAAUGAAUAAAGCAAAUAGCUUGCUACCUCUUUUUCAAAAAAAAAAAAAAAAAAAAAAAAAAAAAAAAAUAAAAAAAAAAACCUAGCUAGAGUGCAUAUUUUACACCUAUCCUAUAAGGUAUGUACAUGUACAUAGCAUUGCUCAUUUAUAUUGGUCUGUGCAAAGUGUAGUUUUGUGUAAUAAAUGUGGGUUGAAUAACAUCAGUAACUCAUCAAUCUACGUAAUAAAAUUUUUACACCAUCUAAAUAACUAUUUUGUGCCGCCAACAAUACUCCUCCAUAAUAAAUAAAUGAAAGGAGAAGCUAAAAUGAGGCAUGCGGAUACCACAAAUAAAUAGCAUAUGCAUGAACUCCUUUUGAGUCCGUACCUAACGGAGAGCACUCCAAAUUAAGUUUCUAUGGCUCUUCCUAACAUGAUUGCCUCCCUGCCUUUUGUUGUUCUCCUACUGCUCCCUCUUCUACUCCUCACAAGAAGAAAGGGGAGCAGCACAUCACUAAAACUUCCCCCGGCCCCUCCCAAGCUCCCAUUCAUCGGCAACCUCCAUCAGCUUGGAAUACUCCCCCACCGCUCCCUCUCUCGGCUCUCGCAGCGAUACGGCCCCCUCAUGUACCUAAAACUUGGCUGCAGGCCGACCGUCGUGGUGUCCUCUGCCGACAUGGCCCGGGAGAUCCUAAAGACGCACGAUCUGGAGUCCUGCAGCCGACCGUCCCUCACCUCGUAUACGAAGCUCUCCUACGGUGGCUCGGACAUCGGCCUUGCAGCAUACGGAGAGCAGUGGAGAGAGCUCCGAAGGAUUUGUAUCAUCGAACUUUUCAGUGCCAAGAAGGUCGCCUCGUUUCGAUCCAUUCGAGAAGAAGAGGUGGAAAGAACUAUGAGCUUCAUAUCCGACUGCUCAACCAGUUAUCUCCCUGUCGAUUUGAGCAAAGAACUGCUAGCGCUUACGAGCACUAUCACUUGUAGAAUGGCUUUUGGAAGGAGCUACCAUGAUGUUGGAAGCAGGUUUCAGGCAAUUCUGAACGAAACACAAACUAUACUCGCAAGCCUUUUCAUCGCGGACUACUUGCCGAUCAUCGGAUGGGCCGAUUGGCUCACAGGGAUGAGAGCGAGGCUCGAGAAGAACUUUAUCGAUCUUGAUCGGUUCUACCAGAAAGUCAUUGACGAGCAUCUCGAUACAAUGCGGCAGCAACGUGACUCUAGCGAAGACUUUGUGCAUAUGUUACUGCGCAUGCAAAAGAACGAGAAUAGUCUAACCACAGACCAGAUCAAAGGAGUCCUUAUGGUCAGUAAAAUGUUCGAUGCCGAAUCACAUAAAACAUUUUCCUAUAUUGUUCUACACGAGUGAGUUUACUCUUUUUUGCAGAAUGUUUUCAUUGGUGGGAGCGAUACGUCCUCAGCCACCGUGGAGUGGGCGAUGACGGAGCUAAUGAGGCACCCGCAAGCGAUGAAAAAAGCUCAAGAAGAGGUAAGAAGCCUCGUCGGGGGGAAAGGGAAGGUAGAGGAGAAGGACAUCGACCAACUGCGCUACCUCAAGUGCGUUGUGAAGGAGACCUUGCGGUUGCACCCGGUGGCUCCCAUGCUGAUCCCAAGAACAACGUUGCAGCAUUUCAAAAUCGAUGGCUAUGAUGUCCCGCCCAAUACGAUGAUGUACAUCAAUGCUUGGGCGAUCGGAAGGGACGGGAGCUACUGGGAAUGGCCGGAGUCGUUCAAGCCGGAGAGGUUCAUUAAUAGCUCGGAUCUCGAGUUCGCAGGUAAGGACUACAAUUUGAUACCAUUUGGGGAAGGUCGCAGGAUCUGUCCAGGAAAGAACCUCGGGAUAAAAACGGUGGAGAUCAUGCUUGCCAACCUUCUUUACUCCUUCGACUGGGAACUUCCAACGGGUAUGACGAAGGAGGAUAUCAACAUGGAUGAGGCGCCGGGCAUUGCUGUGCACAAAAGACAUGCUCUCCACCUUCUCGCCACCAGACAUAUAUAGCGGCAUCUAUAGCUAGUUAGCUACUAUACUAUAGAUAAUAUAAAAUUAGUAUUUACAAUAAAUAUUUUAGCCCUUGGAUGUCUAGAGUUGUCUAUUUGGGAGUUCUAUUAGUAUGGAUCUAAGAGCCAAAAGAUCUGUAAGAAUAACUAUUUCUCUACUAUAUAUCUAAAAUAUAGUAGCUUAACCGAGUGUGUGUAUAUAUAUAAUGCCUCUCACUGAGAUGUACUCUUAUUUAUCUAUCAUUGUACAUCUAUCUAUCAUUUUUCUAUCUACCUAUAUCAAUUACGUAUCUUACUAGCUAUCUUAAUUGUACAAUAUGCAAAUCAUAUGUAUGUACAAGCUUGAUCUCACACCUUCUCAGGCGUACAAAAACUAAUUUAUCAAUAUUUAAAAAUAGGGUAGAAUCACAUAUUCUACGUUAUUAUGUUAAGACAAUUUGCUACAGCAGUGUUUAAGAAAAAUCGAGGAAGUAUUUGGCUGUUGAUACUUCCGAUUGAAUAUUAGUAUACUAAUUAAAUAAAGAUUCCUUCAAUUAUCAAGGGUUUAAAAUGUUUGGAGCAUUUAAACGUGAGGCCGUUGUUUUGAUGCAUUCAUCUAGGAUUUACUGGCUCAAAUAAAAAAAGACGGGCCGAGCUGGAGCACGGCCACGGACAGGCUUAGUCCGUCCAUUAUUACACUACCUAUUGUUGGGCUGCGGCCGUUGAGCCCGUCGGCCCGAGGCUCGACACGGCACGAACUCAAGGCCUUUGCCUCAGACCUUGGGGUAUUAGUUCCUCCCUAGACGCUCUCCUUCCGAAGUCUGCCAAUAAAGACCUUGGGAAGAAUGGGUUGGUCCCUAUUGGAUCAAAACCUCGCAAUUGGUCAGCUUUUUUAAAAAAAUUAAAAAUUAAAAAUAAAAAAUAUAAUUUUUUAAAAAAUAAAAUAUUCACUAUUUUAUAAAUUUUUUUCUAAAUUUCAAUUGCUUUGAUCAAAAUAUAAAUUUAAAUAGGAGUAAUUUAAUUUUUUUAAUUUUUAUUUAAAAAAAAUAAUAAUAAUAAGAGACCGGUCAGCCUGAUUUGACAUGGCCAGUGACUUUCAGACCAGAGGGCCGUGCUAGGCCAGAGGCUUGGAAGAUCGACCCUGCACGACUUGGCCAGGAUUUGAAAGUCGAACCAACUCCUAGCUAGCUUAUUUUGAUCUGAAUAAGGAGGUGUUCGGCUUAGCUUUUAAAAAGCUCUUUUGGGUUGAAAAGUGAUUUUCGGCCCAAUAGAGCGUUUGGCAAAUUUAUUUUUAAAAUCUGAUUCUGCUUCUCAGAAUCAGAAAACUGAUUUUGAAGGCCCAGAAUCAGAAGCUGAAAAAAGCUGCUUCUUGAAAACUGAUUCUAAUUUUGGACUCAAAUAUUAAAUUUUUAUUUUUAUUUUAAAUUCAAUGUUUAAAUUAAAAUUUAAUUAGUUUUUUGUGCAUAAACGUUAUAUAGUUUUUACAUUGAUUUUAAUAUCAAACUUUAGUACUAUAUUUAUAAUUCGAUAAGCGAUCAAUUUUAUAUUUAAAAAUAUUCAAAAUAUGAUGGUGGACUUUUAAUUCUAACAAAUAAGUAUUCUAGAAUUUAUUAAAUAGUUUAAUAUAUUCUUUUUUGAAAUGAAAUUAUUAAUUGAAUAAAAUCGAUGGACGCUCAAUUCUAUCUUUGUCUGGAAUAAAAUUAAAAUAUAAAAAAAAAAAUUACGCUUUUGAUCCUCAAACUAUAAGGCAAGUGGCAUUUUAGUCCUCAAAUUUUAAUGAGUUAUAUUUUCUUGCUCAAACUAUGAGGCAUAUAAAGCUUUAGUUUCUAAAUUUUAAUUAGCUGCAAUUUUAGACUCGAACUAUGAAAUAUAUAAUAUUUUAAUCUUCAAUUUUCACUGUUAUUAUAAAUAUAAUUUAUUAUUUUUAUAAUUUUUUAAUUUUUUAUCAUUCAUAUAUUUUAUUAUAAAUAUGUAGAUCGAAGGAUUUGGAGAUUUUUUUUUUUUUAUAUGAAUCCCAUCUAAUUCUUCUCGUUUAUUAUAAAAAAUUUAAAUAUAUAUUUUUUAUGAAUAAUUUUGAAAUAAUUUUAACUAUAUGUAUUAAAUAUAAAUUUUAAUUUUAUAAUAUUGAUCACUUAGAUAUAAAUCGUAUAAUAAAAAAUAAAAAAAAUUGAUAGAGUUUAAAUUAUUUAUUUAUUUUAACAAAUUUAGUUGUGAGAAUCAUAUGAAUUAUAUUAACUAAAUUUAUAAAGCUAAACGACGCAUUUAAAUUUUAAAGUCAAAGUAUUAUUGACUGGCUCAUAUUUAAUAUAUAAAAAAGUUGGAUAGUAAAAAUAAAAUUUUGAAAGCUUGAAUAGCUAAUUUAAAAUAAUUCAUAGUUCAGAAAUACUUUGUAUAUUUUAACUUUAAUUUUAAUAUCAAUCUUCGAUGCCAUAUUUAUAGUUUAAUGAGUGAUUAAUUUCACAUUUAAAAUUUUUUGAAAUAUUCAAAAUAUGAUUGGUCGACUUUUAAUUUUAACAAUUCGGCAUUCUAAAAUUUAUUCGAUAAUUUAACAUUCUUUCCUCAUAUGACUUCGUUUGGAAUAAAAAUAAAACAUAAAAAGAUAAAUUACACUUUUGGUCAUCAAACUAUAAGAUGCGUGAAACUUUAGGCCUCAAAGUUUCAUGUAUUACACAAUUUCUUGCACAAACUAUAAGGCACGUAAUGUUUUAGUCCUUAAACUUUAAUUAGUUGUAAUUCUUGGUUCUAAUUAUAAGGCAUAUAAUAUUUUAAUUCUCUACUCUUACUGCUGCUAUAAAUAUAAUUUAUUAUUCUUAUAAUUUUUUUCUUAUUUAUUUUAUACUUCUUAUAUUUUUAUUCUUAUAGUUUUACUAUAACAGCUGUUGUGUCUUCUUCAACUUCUUUUAUUUAUAUUUUAUUUUUAUUCUUUAACUCUUUUUUUAUUUCUUUCGUUGUUUCUUUUUUUUAGCUUUAUUUUUUUUUGUAAAAUUUUUUAUCUUUAUUUAUUUAUUUAUUUUUGUGGAAUCGAUUCGCUGCAACGCGCGGACACCUUCACUAGUAGUAUAAUUAAGUCUUACAAAAAAAAUGAUUGCAGCACAUCGUAUGUGAUAACUAGAGUGAGGCUGAUAUAUAUGCUUUUGGAAAUUCGGAACCCUCCGUACUUUCAAGUCGUUUUCGAUGUUGGAAUUUUCGAAUCGACGAUCGACUCCGUUAGACUUGAUUUAGAGUAUUUAAAGUAGCUAGAAAAAAAAUUUUGUGAUUUUUCGAUAUCAUUUUCCUAAUAAUCGAACGGGCUCAAAAUCAAUAAUUUUAAUGGCCGUGGUGAGUCGUUUGCAAAUUUAAUGGUGUAAAUAUUCAAAUCACGUAAAAUUUUGAUAGAAAUUUUUUUAUACUAUAUAAAACAAAAACAAUUUCUGAUCUAAAAUUUCAAAGCCAUAUCAUCACAUUUUGUAAAAUUUUUAUUUUCAGCCGUUGAUUUUGAGCCCCUUCAAUUACUAGGCAAAUGAUAUUGAAAAAUCGUAAAAUUUAUUUUCUAUAUAUUUCAAAUACUCUAAGAGCAUGUUUGGUUCACCUAUUUUAGAUUAUGGAAUCGGAAUGGAAUUCAUUGAUUCCGAUAGUUGCCGUUUGUUUUAUAGAAAUCGGAUUCCAAUUCCCAUUCCACUCCGGAAUGGAAAUGGCCAAAUCUAUUUAUAAUCCAAUUCGGUUUUAAAUUCCGGAUUGGCUCAUUCCAAAGUAAACUAUUUAAAAUUUUCUUUCAUCAACACCUACCUCCUCUCCCUUCAUCACUUUUCUCUCUCUUAAUCAAAAUCCUCUUUCAAAAAUUUUAAAUUUUCAUUUCGAUUUCCAUUCCAAUAAUGAACCAAACAUUUUUGGAUGAUUCGUCAUUUCAUUUCCUAUUCCAAAACAAUCCAAUUUUAUUUUUCAUUUCUAUUUCAAUCAUGAACAAAACAUGCCCUAAAUUCAAUCUAACGGAAUCAAUUGUAAAUUUAAAAAUCUCACCAUCAAAACGACUUAAUGGUACAUAAUAAAAACGAUUUGAUAGUACGGAGAUGUACGGGUGUGAUUUAAUUCUUUUCUGGGGCCCACUAGAUUUAACCUAGUGUGUGCCAGUUUCAACAUGCGUCCUCAUUUCUCCAUCCACUACGUAGCAAUUGCUAUCUUCUAUAUUCAGCGCGUGAGACUGUGAGAGCAACUGCAUAAAAGGAGUCAGAUACGUAUACAAGUGUCCCUGAUUUGAUAUACUGUACCAAUAUUCUAAAAAUAUAGGUAGACAAAAAAAAAAGUGUAUGUUCUGCCCAUUUAACUUCGAGUCCGAUACGAAUGAGUAUUUAAAUUAUUAAUAUAUUUAUCGGAUCUAUUUGAACAGAUUUGAAUAGUAAAUAUUUGUUUACUAUCCGCUUAAAAUUAGGUACGUAUCGGAUACGUGUUAAAUCUAGAUCAAAUAUAUGUACCCGCAUGCGUAUUUUUUUUUAUAGACUAUUAAAUAAUUUUUGAAAAAAUCAUAAACUUUUUAUUAUAGAAAACUCGCAUUCUAAUGAGUUGCACCCAGGUAGAGAGAUCGGAGAGGUAAAGAGAGCGGCUAGAGUUUGAUUUUUUUUCUUUUUUUACUUUGUUCCUUAAUUCCAGCAAUAAAUAGAGAUUUCUAUUUAGAGAGAAAGAUUCAAACAGUAAUCAAAAGUGGUUAGAACUAAAAAAAAUAAGAAGUAAAAAAAAAAAAAUUUAAAAAAGAAUAAGCAUAACGGCUAGGUUUCACUGAGAUGAAAAUGCACAAAUACCCUUUAUCUAUAAGUUCUAUAAAAAUUAAUCCCUCAACUUUAAAUUUUUUUUAUUUACUAUUGCAUAUUUCACUCCGAAUCAGAGUUCGGAUUUAAAAACUAUUCCGGACCGGUCGGAUCCAAGUCCGACCCAAAAUUUUCAUGAAUUUUUUUAUCCAUAUAUUAUUUAAAUAACAAAAACGUGAAUAAUUUAGGCCUCCUCUAAUAUCUUCUUAAUUUUUUUUAAUAUUAAUUUUAUAUAACUAAUAUAUUGAUAGAAAGAUUCUUUUUUUCCUUCGUAUUUUUAUAAUUGAUUAACUUGGAUAUAAACAAAACAUCCUAAACAUAAUAUCCGUAGGCAAGAACCACAAAAAUAUAGGAGCCUUAUCCAUAUGGAAAUGAUUUUGCAACCAACUUUUAUUAAUAGAUUCAACUAUAGUAUAUAAAUACAAGGAUAAAUCAAAACAUGUAGCCUUUAUGAGUAGGGCACAGAAUUACGACGUGUAGAGCAUGAACAAAAUUUUAUGGGCCCCAGACAAUUUUACAUUUUUAUGGGCCCCAAACAAUUUUAUUUGGGGAUUGCUCGGAUGGGCGCUGUGUGGCGGGUGGCGCUCAUCCGAGCCACCCAGCAAAAAUAGUUGAAGAGAGUCUCCACGCCAGUUGAAGGGGUCUCCAUGUCAUUUUAACACAGCAAAGGGUCGAAUGGGAGGAAUUCUACAUUGUCACACUUGCACCACGUCAUCAAUAACAAGCCAAUCACAUUCAUCCUUUUCAAACAAAAGUACAAUAAAAAUACUUUUUUACAAUCAUAAUGGGACAUAUAUUCUUAAAAGGAUUAAUUUGAUUGGUUUGUUACGCCACGUCACUAAUAUACCCGUUGCAUUCUAGAAUUUUUCGUCGAAUGGGCACCGCUCUCCGCACGGCGCCCAUCCGAGCAAUCUUCAAACCUGUUUGAGCAUUAUGUUCAUAAAAUUUUUAUGCGUACAGCACAAAUUGGGUUAUCUUGAUGCCUACCCUGCUACACAUGAGUUUUUAUGUGGGCUAGAGUAUCCGCCAUAUAACAAUCGUACUAGUGAAAUACUCACGCGAUGCUGCAGAUAUAAAAAUAUUUUUAUAAUAAAUUUUAUUUUUUUAAUAUGUUUAUAUAGUUUUAUAAGUCUAAUUAUUAAUAAAAUAAAAAUUAUAAAAAAUAAUUUAAUCGUUAAAUCUAUUUAAAUAAAAGUCGAUAAAAUCGGUAUAUGUGCAAAGUAAAUUUAUACAAUAAUUUAUUUUAUAAAUAUUUAUAUGAAAAUAAUUUGAGAUAAAUCUAUCAAAAUAAUUAAAAAAAUCAAUAAAUAGAAGAAAAAUAAAAAUGUAAAAGAAAUUGUUUAAUAACAUUAAUUAUAUAUACAUAGAAAUACAUUAUAUUUCGAAAAUUUUACUUCUAAAAUUUAAAUGCUCUAAUUUUUUUAUACAACGAUAUUUUACUUGAUUUAAAUUGUAUCUAUUUGGUUAGAUUUUAUUACGCAAUUUAUUAUGCGUAUUAUUAAUAAAAUUAAUUAACUAUAUUCAUAGAAUUUAGAGAUUUAAAAUUUAAAUUAAUUUCAUAGAGUUUAGAUAUUUAAAAUUUUAAAUUUUAAAUUUUAAAAUUUGAAAAUAAAUAUUAUAAAUGAAAUAUAAAAUAUAAAAUUUGAAAAUUUGGAAGUAUCAAAAUUUUAAAUUUUGAUGUCAAUAUAUAUAUAUAUAUAUAGAACUAGACUACUAUCCUAUUAAUAGCAUCAAGUCAUUUGUGCUACCAAGUUUUUGGUCAUUGGAUUAAGAGACGUACGAUUAGGAUGAUGUGGGCCCCAUACCCGACCCAAUUCCACCCGCUACCAGGGAUCAUAAGUGCGCUUACUGGUGGUGCGCUUGUACGGAUACACCGGGUGCACGUAUUAAUUUCCCUCUCGAGCAAGAGACCCCGUAGACGAGGGUUCUGGGGAGAGGUUUUAUCUCCUCGGCGCGAAGAAUCGCGGGGCACGACUCUGUUAUAUCCCCGGACAAUCCGCAACCACCGAUGAUGAAAUUGCUCUGAGGUCGGAUGGCGGUAAGGAUGAUGGGUGCUUCCGGCAGCGACGCCCGAGGUAAAAGAAAUGUAAGUNUAUAUAUAUAUAUAUAUAUAUAGAGAGAGAGAGAGAGAGAGAGAGAGAGAGAGAGAGAGAGAGAGAGAGAGAGAGCGUGUGUGCUAUUAGGAGCAGGAGGCCUCCGUGCUUCUAAGCCGUUUUUGAUGAUGGAGCUUUCGAAUCGACGAUCAACUUCGUUAGACUUGAUCUAGCAUAUUUGAAGUAUCUAGAAAAUAAAUUUUGUAACUUUUCGAUAUCAUUUACCUAACGAUCGAAAGCGUUGAAAAUCAACGAUUGAAAAUAAAAAUCUCACAAAAAGUUGUGAUAUAGUAUUAAAAUUUUCGAUCAAACAUAUUGAUCUUGCUGUAAAUAGUAUAAAGAAUUUUCUAUCAAGAUUUCAUCUGAUUUGAAUAUUUCUACAUCGUUAUACUUGCAAACGGUAUACAUCAACCAUUAAAAAUUGUUGAUUUUGAAUUCUUUCGAUCACUAGGAAAAUGAUACCGAAAAAUCACAAAAAUUAUUUUCUAAAUAGUUCAAAUACGCUAGAUCAAGUCUAACGGUGCCGAUCGUUGAUUCGAAUGCUCUAUCAUGGAAAACGGCUUAGGAGCACGAAGGCCUCCGUGCUCCUAAUAGCACACAAGACCUACUAUAUAUAUAUAUAUAUAUAUAUAUAUAUAUAUAUAUAUAUAUAUAGAGUCCGGCUACUAUACUCUUAUGAAUACGAUUGCCCUCAUACUCAUAAGUUGUUUUUGAUGAUAGAACUUUCGAAUCGACGAUCCAUACCGUUAAACAUUAUCUAGAGGAUUUAAAACUUCUGGAAAUCAAAUUUUAUAAUUUUUCGACAUCAUUUACCUUACGAUCAAAAUCUCACAAAAUUAAUAAUUUUUAGCAGCUGAUAUGGGAUAGUUGCUAGUUUAACGGUGUAAAAGAAUUAGAAUAUGUUGAAUUUUUUAUAGAAAAUUCUAUUCACUACCUAGAUAAAGAUUAAUAACUCCGAUCUUAAAUUAAAGAAUCCGAUCAUCCAUUUUUAGGACGUCGUUUGAUUUUGACCAUUCAUUUUAUGUCCGUUUGAUGGGCUUUAUUAUGAUUUCGAAAAAUUACGAAAUUUAUUUUUUAGAAGUUUCAAAUACUCUAGAUCAUAUUUAACGGAGUGGAUCGUCGAUUUGGAAGCCCCAUCAUCGAAAACAACUUAUGAGUACGAAGGGUCCAAUACUCAUAAGAGUAUAGUAGCCCUAAUAUAUAUAUAUAUAUAUAUAUAUAUAUAUAUAUAUAUAUUAAAGUAGAACCCUUAGUGUAAGAUUAACAUGUGUCUUUCUAUAUACUUGUCACGUGUCAAGCUCAAAUAUAGAAUAACAAUUUUAUUAGAAACACUAUUAAAUCAAAUUAUACCAAUUAAUUAUAAUUAUAUAUACAAUCAAAUCAAAUUAAAUCAAAUAAAGGUUUAUCAUGCAUCUUUCUAUAUGGUUGCCGCUUGUCAAACUCAAAUAUAGCAAUUAGAUGGUUAAAAAUAAAAUUUUAUUAGAAAACAAUAUUAAAUCAAAUUAAAUAUAAUUAUAUAUACAAUUAACAAAAAAUUUAUUAGGAAACACUAUUAAACACUAUUAUUAUAAUUAUACUCAAAUAUAUAUAGAAUAAAAAUUUUAUUAGAAAACACUAUUAAAUCAGAUUAAAUCAAAUUAUACCAAUUAAAUAUAAUCUAUUCUAUUUACUACAUACUAAAGUAGAACCCUUGGUAUAAAAUUGACAUGUGUCUUUCUAUAUGUUUGCCACGUGUCAAACUUAAAUAUAGAAUAAUAAUUUUAUUAGAAAAUACUAUUAAAUCAAAUUAACAAAUUACACCAAUNCUAAAAUUUUAUUACAAAACAAUAUUAAAUUAAAUCAAAUCAAAUUAUACCAAUUAAAUAUAAUUAUAUAUACAAUUAAAGAGAAUUUUAUUAGGAAACACUAUUAAACACUAUUAAAUUAAAUUAUAAUUAUAUAUACAAUUAACUAGAAUUUUAUUAGGAAACACUAUUAAACACUAUUAAGGCUUAGUUUGGCAUUGAGACCUAUCUAACGGUAUUAGAUAGAAUAGAGUUGAGGAAAAAGCAUAUAGGGAUAUGCUUCUGCGUUCUCCAGUGGGACCGCAGAAAAUAUGUUGUAACCGACUCAUCGCGAUAUGCGGAACGCAAUAUUAGUUACGGAAACAAAUAGGGUAUUUUUCCAACGUAUUUUCUCACCGCACGUAACGCAAUUUCCUCAAAAUCCCAAACGAAGCCUAAAUCAAAUUAUAAUUAUAUAUACAAUUAAAUUAAAUUAAAUCAAAUUAAAUAUUUAUCAUGCAUCUUUCUAUAUAUUUGCCAUAUGUCAAACUCAAAUAUAGCAAUUAGAUGGUUAAAAAUAAAAUUAUAUUAAACACUAUUAAAUCAAAUUAAAACAAAUUAUACUAAUUAAAUAUAAUUAUAUAUACAAUUAACUAGAAUUUUAUUAGGAAAUACUAUUAAACACUAUUAAAUCAAAUUAUAAUUAUAUAUACAAUUAAAUCAAAUUAAAUGUUUAUUUCAAAAAUUAUAAUUUUUCAAUAAUUCAACUCUAUCAUUUUAUUUUUUAAAUAAAUUUAGAUUUUUUUCUAAAAAAUUUUACUAAUAUUAUGAUAUUUAUUAUUUUACUUAUUUAACAAAUUAUCUAUAUUGCUAUUGGAGCAGAUACUUUUCAUCUUCAUGCAACAAAAUUUUUUUUUUCCUUCAUAUUUUCUUGAAGAUCAACAUCUAUAUUUAUUUGAAUCUUGAAAGUUGGUAUAUUUCUUAUAUAUAUACGUGUGCUUACUUUAAUUUGUGUUAAACAUGAAAGUUUAGUUGAUCUCAUUAUAUGCUUAAAUAUUAAUGUCGUUUGUAAUUUUUCAUAUCAAUUUGAGUUUUCAUUUUGUUUUGCACAUCAAUAUGUAAAUAUAAAUUAUUUCGCAGACUAAUUCAUAGAUAAUAGAGUAUGGUUGAAUUUUGUUCUUUACUUUGGUCCAUAAUGUAGAUAAAUAGAUUUUCAUUUUCCGCCAAAAUAUCUUGUCCUAGUAAUAUACCUCUUAUUGUUUUAGUCAAAAUUAUUGAGGUGUGCCCCACCCAUGUGGCUUGUUAAAGCCAACUCUUCGGGUCUAUGUAAAGUGUGGUGUUGUUUAAUAAUUAGGGUUGAAAGGCAGAGCAGUAUUACGUCAAAGUCUUUUUUUGUUGGAAAAUUAAAAAUUAAAAAUUAAAGAUUUUAUUUUGGGAGACAAAAAUAUAUUUUAACUGUACUGCUGCAGUAUCUAGUUAAGUUUUUGCGGCUAAUUAAAGUCCUCUAUGAUUUAUGUGGCUGAAGUUGAAAAUAGAAGUCAAACAUGGGGGGCGCAGAUACUGUAAAUACAUAGCAUACGCAUGAACUCUUUACUUCACACCUGAAGCACCUCCAAAUUAAGUUUCUAAUGGCUCUUCCUGACAUGAUUGCCUCCCUGCAGCCUUUCCUUCUUGUUCUCCUACUGCUCCUUCUUCUACUCAUCGCAAGAAGAAACAAGAUCAGUCCAUCACUAAAACUUCCCCCAGGCCCUCCUAAGCUCCCAUUGAUCGGCAACCUCCACCAGUUAGGGAGUCUCCCCUGGCGCUCCCUCUCUCGGCUCUCGCAACAAUACGGGCCUCUCAUGUAUCUAAAACUCGGCAGUAGGCCGACCAUCGUGGUCUCCUCUGCCAACAUAGCCCGGGAGAUCCUAAAGACGCACGAUCUGGAGUCCUGCAGCCGACCGUCCCUCACCUCGUAUGCAAAGCUCUCCUACGGAUCCUCGGACAUCGCCCUUUCAGCGUAUAGUGAGAAGUGGAGAGAGCUCCGAAGAGUUUUCAUCAUCGAACUUCUCAGCAGUAAGAAGGUCGCCUCGUUUCGAUCCAUUCGAGAAGAAGAGGUGGAAAGAACUAUGAGCUUCAUAUCUGACUGCUCAAACAGUUCUCUCCCAGUCGACUUGAGCAAAGAACUGAUAGCGCUUACGAGCACUAUCACCUGUAGAAUGGCUUUUGGAAGGACCUACCAAGAUGUUAGCAGCAGGUUGCAGACGAUUCUAAAAGAAACGGUUGUCUUGCUCGCGGGCUUUUUCAUCGCAGACUACUUGCCUAUCAUCGGAUGGGCCGAUUGGCUCACAGGGAUGAGAGCGAGGCUCGAGAAGAACUUUACCGAUCUUGAUCGGCUCUACCAACAAGUCAUCGACGAGCAUCUCAAUACACUGCAGCAGCAUGACUCGGGUGAAGACUUUGUGCAUAUAUUACUGCGAAUGCAAAAGGAUGAGAAAAGUCUAACCACAGACCAGAUCAAAGCAGCCAUUUUGGUAAGAAAAAUUUUCCAUACCGAAUCACAUAAAACAUUUUUCUUUCGAAAGAAAUCAUUUAUAAAGAACAAUAAAUGUAGCAAUAAGUAUGUAGGCCUAACAAUCUCUAUUCAUACUCUAGGGUACUCAGGAAUUAUCAGUAGAUUUGCGGGUAUUGGGCAUUAAUUAUUUGUGUCCAAAAAAUUAGUGGCAAAAUAAGUAGGUUCAAAUAUUUGGAGGAUCACGCAUACCAGCAUAUACAUAUAUUUUUUUUAUGAAAUAAGUGAAUAUUUAUUUUAUUUUAUCUUAUCUCUAGGAUUGUAAUUUUAAUUUUUCUUAGUGUUAUUUUAAAACUCUAUAUUAUCUUCUAUAUAUUGUGAUAAUUUAAAGGCCUAUUUGUAUAAAAAAAUCCAUAAAUUUUGAGAUUUUGCCAAACUGGGCCGCCUUUUUUCAUUUUGCAGAUUGGGUACGAAUUUUCAGCAAACUGACCAAAAUACUCUUAUUACUUUUUCUCUCCCCUUUUUCUCUCUACUAUUCUUUUCUCUUGUUUAUUUUUUUUUUCUCUUGCCAAAAAAAGUAGAGGAGGCAGAGGCGAAUGCAGAAACGGUCCGCCUCGUCUCUCACCCUCAUGCUCUCGUCCUUGCCCUUCCCCUCGCCCGCGCAACCCCCACCUUCCUCGCCUUCGACCCCACCGAGGCUGCACCGCGACUCUUUUUUUUUUUUUUUCCUCUUCGACCCUCAUCCACCGUCUCCGAUAACGACGCCUCUCUUGCCCUUUCCCGCCCUUCUUGUCUUCUCCCUCCUCCUCUGUCGCAUCCGACGACGACACAUCUUUGCCGACACCGACACUGUGGAGGUCGCUGCGGCGCUGCAGCCUCGGAGUGGGUGUUCCUUAGCGGCGUCGUCGCCGGCGCCGUGACUGUUGGCAGAGAGGAGUGACUAAAAAAAAUUAUAGAAGAAAUAAGAAAAAAAAUAAUGAUAAAAAAUUAUACAAAAAAAAAGAUGAAGAUGAAAUUGCAAUGUUAAAAUAAAAGUAUACUGUUUUAAAAAAACGUUGCACUAUUAUGGACAUAAGUUAUACUACUUAAUAUAUAAACUGCAGCUUUAAGAUGAUAAUUACACUCUUUAAAUAAAAAUUGUACUUUUUGAGAGAUAUUUACACUAUUUCUUCUCGUAUUGCAUUUUUUCAGAUGUAAAUUGCAUCCAUUAAGAUAAAAAUUAUACUCUUUAAACGAAAGUUGCACUCUUUGAGAGAUAUUUAUUUUGUUUCUCCUUUUGUUGCAGUACUCUUUGAGAUAUAAACUGCAUCCCUUUAAGAAAUAUUUAUACUGUUUUUCCUCUUGUUGUACCGUUUCUUCUCUUGUUGCACUAUUUCUUUUCUUGUUACACUAUUUUUUUUCUUAAAGGGUGCAGUUUAAGAGAAAAAAUAGUGUAACAAGAGAAAAAUAGUGCAAUAAAAAAAAAUAAUGCAACAAGAGGAGAAACAAUAUAAAUAUCUCUUAAAGGGGUGCAGUUUACAUCUCAAAAAGUGCAAUAAGAGAAAAACAGUGUAAAUAUCUCUAAAAGAGUGUAAUUUUCAUUUAAAGAGUGUAACUUUAAUCUUAAUGGAUGCAGUUUACAUCUGAAAGAGUGCAAUAAGAGGAGAAAUAGUGUAAAUAUCUCUUAAAGAGUAUAAUUUUCGUUUAAAAAGUGUAAUUUUUAUUUUAAAACUGCAGUUUAUAUCUUAAGUAGUGCAACUUAUAUCCAUAAUAGUGCAAUAUUUUUUUAAAACCGUGUCAUUUUAUUUUAACUGUGCAAUUUUAUUUUUAUCUUUCUUUUUCUAUAAUUUUUUAUCUUUAUUUAUUUUUCUUGCUUCUUCUCUAAUUUUUUUUUAUCACACCUCUCUGCCAGCGCCAGCGACGACGCAGCGAAGGACCCCCCGCUCCAAGUUGGCAGCACCGCAGCGACCUCCACGGUAUUGGCGUCGUCGUUGUCGUCGGACGGUGGAGGAGAGUCAAAGAGGAAAAAAAAGAAGAGUUGCGGUGCGGUCUCGGCAAGGUUGGAGGCGAGGAAGGUGGGGGGGUGCGCAGGUGCCGGCGAGGGCGAAAGCAUGAGGAUGAGAAGCAAGGAGGACCGUUUCCGCUUUCGCCUCUGCCUCCGCUGUCUCUUCGGCAAGAGAAAAAAAAAUGAACAAAAGAAAAAAAAGAGGGGAGAGAAAAAAUAAUAAAGGUAUUUUGGUCAGUUUGCUGAAAAUUCAGUCCGAAUCUGCAAAAUAAAAAAAAUUACCCACUUUUGUAAAAGCACAAAACUAAUGAAUUUUUUAUACAAAUUAGCCUAAUUUAAAUAAUAAUUAUGUUAUUUUUUAAAAAAUAAAUAAACAAUAUAUAUAUUUACGUGUGUGUAUUUGAAAAGUUUAAAGAAUAAAAAAAAACACUUCGUGGGUAAUUCGUAUACCUAUCCGCUUAAAUGUAAUUUUGUGGGUAAUUCGCAUACCUAUCCGCUUACAUGUAUGGAUAAGAAUGCUGACUAUUUAAAAAUUUUUGAAUAAAUUUUAUUCAUACCUAAAUAAAUCUGCGGAUAUAAAAAUCAGUCCAGCGCAUGAAUCAUUCAACACUAAAGUCAUCUUUUUAUACACGAGAUUUCUUUUUUUUGCAGGAUGUUUUCGUUGGUGGGAGCAAUACGUCCUCAGCCACUGUGGUAUGGUCGAUGACAGAGCUAAUGAGGCACCCGCAAGUGAUGAAAAAAGCUCAAGAAGAAGUGAGAAGCCUCGUCGGGGGGAAAGGAAAGGUAGAGGAGAGCGACAUCGACCCACUGCGCUACCUCAAGUGCGUUGUGAAGGAGACCAUGCGGUUGCACCCGGUGGCUCCCAUGCUGCUCCCAAGAACAACGUUGCGGCAUUUCAAAAUCGACAGCUAUGAUGUCCCGCUCGAUUCAAUGAUAUACAUCAAUGCUUGGGCAAUCGGAAGGGACGGGAGUUACUGGGAAUCGCCGGAGGCGUUCAAGCCGGAGAGGUUCAUGAAUAGCUCGGAUCUCGAGUUCGCCGGAAAGGACUUCAAUUUGAUACCAUUUGGGGAAGGUCGCAGGAUCUGCCCAGGGAAGAACCUCGGGCUCAAAACAGUCGAGAUCAUGCUCGCCAACCUUCUUUACUCCUUCGACUGGGAACUUCCAACGGGUAUGACGAAGGAGGACAUCAACAUGGAUGAGGCGCUGGGCAUUGCUGUGCACAAAAGACAUGCUCUCCGCCUUCUCGCCACCAGACAUAUAUAGCGGCAUCAAUAGCUACUAUACUAUAGAUAAUAUAAAAUUAGUAUUUACAAUAAAUAUUUUAGCCCUUGGAUGUCUAGAGUUGUCUAUUUGGGAGUUCUAUUAAUUAGUAUGGAUCUAAGAGCCAAAAGAUCUGUAAUAAUUACUUUUCAUCUACUAUUUAUAAUAUAGUAGCUUAAUCGAGUGUGUGUAUAUAUAUAAUGCGUCUCACUGAAAUGCACUCUUAUUUAUCUACUACUUCUAUCUACCUAUAUCAAUUACGUAUUUUACUAGCUAUCUUAUGCGAACAAUAUGCAAAUCAUAUGUAUAUACAAGCUUGAUCUCACAACUUCUCAGGCACACAAAAAUUAAUUUCUCAAUAUUUAAGAAUAGGGUAGAAUCACAUAUUUUACGUUAUAUGUUAACACAAGUUGCUACAGCAAAGUUUAAGAAAAAUCUGAUAGCCGACCUGGUAUGACCUACGUACCCUUUUCAUUGAGGAAAUAUAUUUGGCUGUUGAUAAUUCCGACUUAGUAUUACUAUACUAAUUUAAUGAAAGAUUCAUUCAAUUAUAUAGGAUUUAAACUGUUUGGAGCAUUUGAACGCGAGACCGUUGAUUAAUUGCAUCCAUCUAGGAUUUACUGGCUAAAAUAAAAAAAGACGGCCGAGCUGGGGGCACACCGGUUGGGCCCAUCACACUGGGCAGUGUUGGGCAGCUGCCGUUGAGCUCGUCGACCCAAGGCUCGGCACGGCGCGGCACAAACUGGCACAGCCUGGGCCCCAAGGCCUUUGCCUUGGACCUUGGGGCACGAGUUCCUCCCUUGGGAAGAAUGGGUUGGUCCAUAUUGGAUCAAAACCUUGCAAUUAAUCACUUUUUUUAAAAAAAAAAAAGUAAAAAAUAGAUUUUUUUUAAAAAAAAUAAAAUAUUUAUUAUUUUAUAAUUCUUUUUAUAAAUUUCAAUUGCUUUGAUCAAAAUAUAAAUUUAAACAGGAGUAAUUUAAUUUUUAAAUUUAUAUUUUUUAAAAAAAUUUAAAAAAAAUAGAGAGAUUGGUCCGCCCGGUUCGAUAAGGCCAGUGCCUUCCAUGCCAGAGGGCCCGUGCAGGGGAGGAGGCAUGAAAGAUCCAACCCUGCACCGCUCGGCUAGAAUUUGAAAGUCAGACCGACGCCUAGCUCGUUUUAGUCUAGAUAAUAUAGGUCAUGCGGUUUGAACAGGACUCACAUUACACCCCUACAUCUAUAUCACAUAUUUGUUCCUCUCUCUCUCUUAUCUAUUCUUUUUCAUCAUUACAGUUGACAUAUUCUACUUCUCUCAUUCUGCUUCUCACAAUGAAUAAAAUAAUUAAAUUAAGGUAAAAACAUUAGUUACUAUCUGAAAUUAUUGUAACCAUGUUUUACAUGAAUUUGUUUUUUUUUUUUUUUUAGAGAUAGGUAGCAUGCUACCCGCUUCGUUUAUUUCAUUUAGAAAUAAACUUAGCUAGAAAUGUGAAUCAACUAGGAUUCGAACUUGAGACCUCAGGUACCAACCAUCAAGCCUUUUGCCACUUGCGCUAGGGACAGCCGGUUUUACAUGAAUUUGUUGAAAAUCAUAAAUUGGAGUCAUAGAUAAAUCUAUAGGAAGGAGGUAUUUUGGGGUGGAGAGUGAUGUGAGAGUAAGGUUAAUGUAGAAGAAAAGAUGUAAUCUAUUUAGCUAAGGUGAAAUAGGUAAUUCAUUUCGAUUUGAAUUUGGAACCAAUAAUAUGAAAUAGGAAGAAAUCAUAAAGAAAUAUAAUAGAUACUACGUACAAAAGGGGUGGAUAGUAGGCGGACUUUUUUGAUUAGUUCAAUUUACAAUUUUUUAUUAAAUUUAAAAUUUAAAAAUUUUAAAAAAUAAAUAGUCAAAUUUGAAUAUGUGACGGUUGCUAUACUAUAAAAAUAUGAACUACAGACAUAAAUGACAUUUUUUUUCUUGUUCGCAGGGUAAACCUACAUCAAAAUAAAAACAGAUUAUCAAAAUAAAAGCAAAUUAUCGGUCUCUACGCAGGGGUGUAAACGAGCCGAACACGAGCGAGCUAGGGUCAGCUCAUAUUCGGGCUCAUUUAUUAAACGAGGCCGAACACGAGCUCGCUCGUUAAAUAUCGGAGCCGAAAAUUCAGCUCGUGUUCGGCUCGUUUUAUUAACGAGCCGAACACGGCUGACUCACGAGCUGGUUAACAACAAUAAAUUAAAAAGAAUUAGAUUAAUAUAUAUAAAAAUAAUUUAUAAAAUCUUAUCCAUUAAAUUUUGAUUUAAUAGUUGAAACUUUACAUAUAAAUGAGUCUUUUAUAAUUAAAUUUGCAUUUAUAUUUUUAUUUUGCUAAAAAUUAAUAAUAAAAAUAUGUAUUAUAUAUAAUAUUUAUUUAUAUAUAAAAUAUAAAUUAAAUAAAUUAUAUAAAUGUAAAUAUAUGUAUUCGAGCUGUUAUCGAGUCGAACAUGAGCGAGCUGACCCCAGCUCGUGUUCGGCUCGUUUAUUAAACGAGCUGAAAAUUGAGGCUCGUGUUCGGCUCGUUUACUAACGAGCGAGCCGAUAUCGAGACUCAUUUCGAGCCGAACACGAGCUGACUCACGAACAGCGAGCUGAAUUGCCACCCCUAUCUCUACGGAGCAUUAAUUACGUAUAUAUCUAGCUAAUUAGAGUCGUUGAAACUAAAAGCAAAAUAUUUCGUCCCUUAAUAGACCUCCUGGGUAUAACACGGUAGCCGUGGGUCGUAAUAGUGAAAAGUUUUAAUUAUAUUUUACUAUACUUUAUUUUAUUAUUAUUUUUACUUACUUUAUUAUAUUAUUGUUUGAAGGUUUUAUUAUAUUUUUCAAAUUCUACAUUAAAAUUUAGAUUUAUUUUUAUUUUUUUAUCUUUUUCUUUUUCUUACAUAUAUUACGUACCAAAUUAUUUUUUUCUCGCCAGCUUUAAUUAUUUUUAAUUAUUAUUUUAUUAUUUUUAAUAUUAUUAAAAUAAGUUGAAUAUAUUUCUGUUAUUUUUAAUUAGUAUUUUAUAGUGUAGGGAUAAAAAAAAAAGCGGUGCUUUAAAAAAAUUAGUAUAAUAUAAAAAGUGAAAAAAAAUCUCUAUAUUGUAAUAUAGUAUAAGUGUAAUUAAAUCUUAAAAAAAUAAUUACGGCACAUCGUAUGUGAUAAUUAGGCAAAAAAGAGAAUCCUGGCCUGCGCACAGUUCAUGCACGGCACUAGUAGGAAAGUCCAAUUUUGAGUCUCAAUGUAUGCGUGUGAUUUAGGAGGCCAAUAGGUCGGAUUCCGGCAGAUUUUUAGAAGUUUGAAUCCGAAUCCAACUCCAAAUCUGAAAUCUCAAUCCGAAAAAGACAUAUCCAAAUCCGAAAUCGACUAAAAAUUCGAAACCCGAAAUAAUUAUUUUUCUUUUCAAUAUUCCAAAAUAUAUUACAUUAAAUCUAAUUUUUUAAAAUACAAAUUGAAAUAUAAUAUUAAAUUUUAAUACACAUGUUAUAUAUAUUAUAAAAUAAAUUUGGGUUCUAGUCUGGUUCAAAUUCGGAUCAAAUACAGUCAAAAUUCAUUUCCGAAUUUAUACCCGUCGGGUCUUUGUUUCUGAUAUUCAUAUUCAAAACCAUAUUCGUUUAUCAUCAGGUAAAUUCGCUCCGUUCUAUUUCAAAUUCGGAUAAAAUUUUGAGUAUCUACACGCAUUAACAUCCCUAGUAUGGUGUUCUUUUUCUGGGGCCCACUAGAUUUUACCCAGUGUGUGCCAGUUUCAACUCAUUUUUCCAUCCACAUAGCAAUUACUGUCUCCUAUAUUUAGCGAGUGAGAGCAACUGCAUAAAAAUGUCCCUGUUUUGAUAUACUGUACCAAUAUUUUAAAAUAUUGGAAGAGAAAAAUAUAUGUUUUACUCGUUUAUAUCAGAUUCUAUACGGAUUUGAGUAUUUAAAUUAUUAAUAUAUCCAUCGAGUCUACUUGAGCAGAUUUAGAUAGUAACUAUCCGUAUACAGCCACUUUAAAAUUGGGUACAGAUCGAAUACGGGUCGGGUACUUUAAAAUUGGGUACAGAUCGAAUACGGGUCGGGUUUAGAUCAAAUAUGUGUAUCGGCAUGCAAAUUUUUUAUAGACUAUUAAAUAGUUUAUGGACAAAUUAUAAAUUUUUUACUAUAGAAAACUCACGUUCUAAUAAAUUGCACCAAGUUAAAGAGAUCAAAGAGGCAAAGAGAGUGGUUAGGGUUUGAUUUUUUUUUUUUUUUAACUCCUUUUCUUAAUUCCAAAAAUAAACAUGGAUCCCUAUUUAGAGAGAAAGAUUCCAACAGUAAACAACGGUUAGAAUUUUAAAAAUAAGGAGAAAAAAACAAAAAAAUAGUAAAUAUAGUGGCUAGGUUUCACUAAGACGAAAAUAUACAGAAAUUCCUCAUCUAUAAAUUCUAUAUAUUGUGAUAAUUUAAAUAAUAAUUAUCUUAUGCUUUUUUAAAUAAAUAAACAAAUAUAUAUUUUUACGUGUGUGUAUUUGAAAAGUAUAAGAAUUAAAAAAAAAAACAACUCGUGGGUAAUUCGCAUACCCAUCUGCUCACAUGUAUGGAUAUAUAAGAAUGCUGGCUAUCUUAAAAAUUUUUGAAUAAAUUUUAUUCGUACCUAAAUAAAUCUGCGGAUAUAAAAAUCAGCCCAGCACAUGAAUCAUUCAACACUAAAGUCAUGUUUUCAUACACGAGAUUUCUUUUUUUGCAGAAUGUUUUCGUUGGUGGGAGCGAUACAUCCUCAGCCACUGUGGUAUGGGCGAUGUCGACGGAACUAAUGAGGCACCCGCAAGCGAUGAAAAAAGCUCAAGAAGAAGUAAGAAGCCUCAUCGGGAGGAAAGGAAAGGUAGAGGAGCCCGACAUCGACCAACUACGCUACCUCAAGUGCGUUGUGAAGGAGACCUUGCGGUUGCACCCAUGCUGCUCCCAAGAACAACGUUGCGGCAUUUUAAAAUCGACGACAAUGAUGUCCCGCCCGAUACAAUGAUAUUCAUCAAUGCUUGGGCGAUCGGAAGGGACGGGAGUUACUGGGAAUCGCCGGAGGCAUUCAAGCCAGAGAGGUUCACGCAUAGUUCGGUUCUCGAGUUCGCGGGAAAGGACUUCAAUUUGAUACCAUUUGGGGAAGGUCGCAGGAUCUGCAUGCCCCAGGAAGAACCUCGGGAUAAAAACGGUCGAGAUCAUGCUCGCCAACCUUCUUUACUCCUUCGACUGGGAACUUCCAACUGGUAUGACGAAGGAGGACAUCAACAUGGAUGAGGCGCCGGGUGUUGCUGUGCACAAAAGACAUGCUCUCCGCCUUC
rnacentral:lncRNA from 1 species